rnacentral:rRNA from 1 species
GCCUAUACAUGCAAGUCGAACGAAGUAGCAAUACUUAGUGGCAGACGGGUGAGUAACAUGUGGGUAUCUUCCCUUUGGUGAGGAAUAACACGAGGAAACUUGUGCUAAUACCUCAUAAGUCUUUACGGAGAAAGCUUUAUGCGCCAUUGGAUGAGCCUGCACUUGAUUAGUUUGUUGGUGGGGUAAUGGCCUACCAAGACAAUGAUCAAUAGCUGAUUUGAGAGGAUGAUCAGCCACAUUGGGACUGAGACACGGCCCAAACUCCUACGGGAGGCAGCAGUAGGGAAUCUUGCACAAUGGAGGAAACUCUGAUGCAGCGAUGCCGCGUGAGUGAAGAAGGCCUUUGGGUUGUAAAGCUCUUUCGUCGGGGAAGAAAAUGACUGUACCCGAAUAAGAAGGUCCGGCUAACUUCGUGCCAGCAGCCGCGGUAAUACGAAGGGACCUAGCGUAGUUCGGAAUUACUGGGCUUAAAGAGUUCGUAGGUGGUUAAAAUAGUUGGUGGUGAAAUCCCAGAGCUUAACUCUGGAACUGCCAUCAAAACUUUUUAGCUAGAGUAUGAUAGAGGAAAGCAGAAUUUCUAGUGUAGAGGUGAAAUUCGUAGAUAUUAGAAAGAAUACCAAUUGCGAAGGCAGCUUUCUGGAUCACUACUGACACUGAGGUGCGAAAGCAUGGGUAGCGAAGAGGAUUAGAUACCCUCGUAGUCCAUGCCGUAAACGAUGUGUGCUAGACGUUGGAAAUUUAUUUUCAGUGUCGCAGCAAAAGCGUUAAGCACACCGCCUGGGGAGUACGACCGCAAGGUUAAAACUCAAAUGAAUUGACGGGGACCCGCACAAGCAGUGGAGCAUGUGGUUGAAUUCGAAGAUACGCGCAGAACCUUACCAACACUUGACAUGUUCGUCGCGACUUUAAGAGAUUAAAGUCUUCGGUUCGGCCGGACGAA